rnacentral:rRNA from 1 species
GAUGAACGCUGGCGGCGUGCCUAACACAUGCAAGUCGAGCGAACAGAUAAGGAGCUUGUUCGGUGGUCGAUAGCGGCAGAGGGGAGUGUAACACGUGUGAAACCCACCUAUAAGACUGGAAUAAUUCCGGGAAACCGGGGCUAAUGCCGGAUAACAUUUAGAACCGCAUGGGUCUAAAGUGAAAGAUGGCUGUGGUAUCACGUAUAGAGGGAUCUGCGCUGUAUGAGCUAGUUGGGAAGGUAACGGGUUUCGAAGGCUACGAUGGGUAGACGAACUGAGAGAGGGAUCGGCCACCCGGGAGGGGAGACAGGGUCAAGACGCCUGCGGGAGGGCGCAGUAGGGAAUCUUACGCAAUGGGGGAGAGCCUGACGGAGCAAGGGGGAGUGAGUGAUGAAGGUGUUCGGAGCGUGAAGAUCUGUUAUUAGGGAAAAACAAAUGUGUAAGUAGCUGUGCAGGUCUUGACGGUAACUGAUCAGGAAGCCACGGCUAACUACGUG